rnacentral:misc_RNA from 1 species
GGAAAUUAAUUCAGUUCCAUGAGCUUCAAAUUGAUUGUAUAGAUGUCACUGCUGUUUGUGAGAGUACACCUGCACUGAAAGCUGAAUAAUAAUCACAUUGAUUGAUUCCAUAUAGAAUGACGAUGUAAAUAUAAUACAAUGGCACAUUGGAAAUAGGCACUGGCGUUAAAAUAUUAUAUUGAGAUACUCUUAGUGAAUGUGUGGUGACUAAAUUGGAAAUCAAUCUACUGACAGAGUGUAGAAAAACGAAAGUUGAGAAUAGUAUCCUAUGUAUGUCAGAGCAUCAUUGUAUCCCUAAAUAUUGGAUAUAAAAUUCAGGCAUUAUUUUUCUAAAUAAUGCCAAACUGAGUGAUGAUUUAGCUAACUACAUGCUCGAUAAUGUGUUUUGGUAUCAAAAUUUUGAAAAUAAGGUUCAAGUCAUCUCUAUCAUGCGUUUGAGGUUCAUAAGGUUUUGCCUCAGCAUCAAGUAUUUCUGAUUUUCCAGGAAGCCUGGUGAACCGCCCCUAGUUCCUUAUAAGGUCCCAUUCCUUGGAAGCGGUCUAGAGUUUAACAAAGAUGCAUACAAGUUCCUGUCGGACUGCCAGAAAGAAUACGGAGAUGUCUUCACAAUAUACUUAGCUGGAAAAUAUUACACCUUUAUCCUAAAUCCUAGGAAUUAUGGAGUCUGUUUUAAGCAGUCGUCUGAUGUAUUAUCAUUUAGGACUGCAGCAAGAACAACGCUUACAAAAGUAUUUGGGGUUGAUCAAAAAGUUGUAAUAGAUACCGCACCAUAUAGCAAGACCCACACUCGCCCAGCUGUGACCAAGGGUCUGCAAGGGGAAGGGCUAGAGGGUUUGUCACAGACGAUGCAGAUGAACCUACACAAAAUGUUAAAGGGAUUAACUUUAGUAGGGAAUGAAUGGCAGACUAUGGAACUCCUAGACUUCUGUUAUCUAACUGUCUUUAGCACUGCUUUUAUCUCAAUCUUUGGAGAAAAUGAGCAAGAUUUGGCGAACAUGUCCACCAUUAUAAAAAACUUUCGAGAGUUUGAUAACUCGUUUGUCGGUUUCUUGAGUGGUUUACCGAAACAGAUGUUGAAGAAGGCACUGAAAGCCCGAGAGUACCUGCAUGAUCUAUUAUGCAAAGAAAAAGGACAGAAAAGGAGAAACAUUUCAGAACUUCUUGAGUUACGUCAUGCUGCAUUUGAGGCUAUUGGUAAAGAAAUAUUCCCAGACUCUGCACAUGGUCCCCACAAUCUGUCUUUCCUAUGGGCAUCACAAGGAAAUACAAUACCAGCUAUUUUCUGGUCACUGUACUAUACAAUCAAACACCCUGAAGCUACUGAAGCUGCUCUAGAAGAGGUGAGAGAGAAGUUGGGUCCAAUAGAUGAGGCCAAGGAAUAUGUCACCUAUACUAAGGAACAGUAUGAUGAACUGGAAAUAUUUGAUAGCAUAAUAUCAGAGACUCUUCGUCUCACCAGUUUUUCAAUGAUUGUGAGAGAUGUAGUCGAGGAUGUCACAUUGCAGCUUACAACAGGGGAAGUGAUUGGAUUACGCGGAGGGGAUAGAGUGGCUCUCCAAGCAUGUAUGGUACACAGAGACCCUGAAAUAUAUGAAAACCCAUUGGAAUUCCAAUAUGACAGAUUUCUAAGAAACAAGACCUUCUACAAAAAUGGAAGUCGCCUUCGAUACAAUAUGUUGCAGUAUGGAGGCGGGAGCAGCAUGUGCCCAGGUCGAUUUUUUGCCAACCUGGAGAUCAAACAAACAAUUAUCUUUCUAAAACGCUACUUUGAUCUUGAAUUCGUUGAUCCCCAAUGUGAGAACCCUGGGAUAUCUAAGUCCAGAGCAGGGCUUGGUAUCAUGCCCCCUGAGAAAGAUGUACAAAUACGAUUCCGCCCCAAGAAGUUGAAUUAAGGACCGAUUUGUAUAGGUCUAGUUCUACUUGGUUCAUAUAAAGGAUAUUCAGUGUGCCAUCUAGUAACAACUAUUGCCAAAGUAGGCCUGCUUUAAGGUACUGACAUGCAAAAUGUCACCACCUGCCAAUUGUUACAGGUUCCAGAUGCCAAACACAAUCCAAAGUUGGAGACUAUAACAAAUUGUCACCAUCUAGUUACAACUAUGGCCAAAGCAGGCCUGCUUUAAGGUACUGACAUGCAAAAUGUCACAACCUGCCAUUUGUUACAGGUGCCAGAUGCCAAACACCAUCCACAGUUGGAGACUAUAACAAUAUGUCACCAUCUAGUUACAACUAUGGCCAAAGUAGGCCUGCUUUAAGGUACUGACAUGCAAAAUGUCACCACCUGCCAUUUGUUACAGGUGCCAGAUGCCAAACACCAUCCAAAGUUGACAAUAUGUCACCACUUGUGGUGGUGACAUAACAAUGGACUUACCCAGACAAGAGGCAGGCGAGGUAACUGCCUCACCAAAAUAUUACACUUCAAGCAUCUAUUUUCACAUCAAGACAUUAUUUCAAAGGUGGUAAUAUACCUC